UUUAAUUAAAUAAUAGUAUUUUAAUUAUCUAAAGAUUGAAUUAUAUAAGAUCAUUAAAAAUACAUCCAUAAAUACAUCUUCCUCACAUUAAAAAAAUGUAAUUGACCUAAAUGAACAAUUGUCAUCCAAAAAUAGAAAGGAGAAACACCCUAGAUAGGAGCGCUUUCUCUCGUAAGGAAGUUUUCAAACCAAAUAAAAAUUCAAAUUUCAUGUUUCUCGUAUAAAGAUUAUGAUUUUUUGAACGAACAAGAAUGAAUCAUAGUUUGGUCCUAAAGGAGGUAACAAAAAGAACCCGACUUAACAAAAUAUAAUUGAAUUGGUUGGAAAAUAAAUAAUGAAUAUUAAAUAGAAAUUUUAUAAAAACUAAUAUGUUCAUGUGUAAUUUUAUCAUUCCCUUGUAUUGCUAGCACAUAACCUUCUCUUUCGUGAACUUCAUAAAAAUAAUAGAGUAGUGUCAACAUGAGGAAAUAAUUUGUUACACACUCGAUGCAAUUAAAUUAGUAAAAUCAUCGUUAUGUUUCUCUUAACUAAACUGAAUUAAUAUAUGAUUCAGCUUACUUCAAAGAAAAAAUAAUAUAUACUAAUACUAAUUUAAUUACAUGUCAAGUGUGUGGCAAAAUAUCUCUUUAUGUAGUACAACACAAUACUUUAUCAUUUUGAUCAAGUUUACGGAAGACAAUGUUAUAUGUUAACAAUACAACGAAAUGUUUUAAAAUCAUGAAUGAAUAUGUUAGUUUAUAUAGUAUUAUUAUUUGAUAUUCAUUAUUAUUCGCUGACAAAUUUAAAUUUUUGUUAAGUCAACUUGAUUUUGUUACCCCUUUAGGACCUUCUAUAAUUCAUUUUAGUUCAAUCAGAAAAUCACCAUAUUAUAAGAGGACCUUUGAAUUUAUAGUUUGUUUAAAAACUUUCUUUCAAGGGAAAGCGUUCCUAUACAGGUGUUUCUCCCUUCUAAUUUUUGAUGGCAAUUCAUUCUAAAUUAAGGCAAAUCAACUUUUUUUUAUAUGAGGAAGACGAACUUUGAUACAUUAGUUUGAGUAAAACUUCCUUAACAGGAUAACGAUCUAACCAAAGUGAAAUAAAAAGUUAUGUAGGAGUUGUUCGCUGGUAGCAUAGUUAUGAUGGUCAGCUACCCCCAAGAUGCGUACCCGACCAAAGAUCACAAGUGAUCCCAAGAUAACUUUGUUGGCAUACAUCAACAUACUAUGAAAUCUUAAAUGAAAUAAUACUGAGCGUAAGCUUUAUGAAAAAUGAAAUUGAUUGGGAAUACCCAUUCUAAAACUGAAUAUAUAAGAAAACUAAGAGUUUUAACACAACUUAAAGUCAAGCUCAAAUGAAAUAAAGCUAAAUCUAGUUAUGUCUGAAAUAAGACUAACUGACUGUUUUCUUGUUAACAAACAUGUGUAAAGCAGGCUUGAUUGUGAAGAAGUUGGAGAAACACGAGGAGAUGGUGAAUGCAUCCACUAUGCGAAAUGUAUUGUUUAUGCUAAAUUUGGUGAAGUAGGAAGAGAGUUGCAGGUUCCUAGUCUCUACGAGCAAUACUCGUUCUUGGGUUGAUAGUAUGUUUAACUAAUAAGUAUAUUCUCAAAUGGCAAAGUGAAAAGCUGUUGAUUGCAGAAUGUGGACUGAGACUCAUAGGAGAAAAGAUGGAAGUUAUGUAACUGAGGAAGCUAAGGAGAUGGGGACCGAAUUUGAUUCGUUCUUGUUUGAUCAAGUCAUUCUAUUUUUUGCUGGGAAUUCAUCAAAAAUCGAGGAAACAACUUGUUCUAAUUAUUUGAAGAAGAUGAACUUUGCUUCAUUAAUUUACUCGAUCGCAAGAUAGGAGUUACAGUUCCUCCGGUCACUAGCUAGAGGGGAAGUGUUGAAGGAAGCAUGAAGAUUGAUGAAACAUGUCGAAGGAACAGUAGACUGAUGAACAUGUUGAAGGAGAAGAUUCAUCGAAGCAAGCUAACAAGUUUGAGUUGGAAUCAUACUAGGACUAAACUACUAAAUUCUAAGAUAUGUACGACUAAGCUACUCUAUAUUGUAGGAGUCAACUAGGAUAAGGUUUUUGAGUUAUAAUACAAUACUACUCAUGUAAAUAAUUGUGUUGUAGUAGGAUUCAUAGUAUAUCUAGAAUAUGACUCUUCUUUUAUAUAAGGAGCUUGUGACUCAACAUUUUUCAUCAAUA